CGGUUGAUCCUGCCGGACUGACUGCUAUCGGAUUGAUACUAAGCCAUGCGAGUCGUUGUAGUAAUACAAGGCAGACGGCUCAGUAACGCGUAGUCAACCUAACCUAUGGACGGGAAUAACCUCGGGAAACUGAGUAUAAUGCCCGAUAGAACAUUAUGCCUGGAAUGGUUUAUGUUCCAAAUGAUUUAUCGCCGUAGAUGGGACUGCGGCCUAUCAGUUUGUCAGGUGAGGUAAUGGCCCACCAAGACUAUUACAGGUACGGGCUCUGAGAGGAGUAGCCCGGAGAUGGGUACUGAGACACGGACCCAGGCCCUAUGGGGCGCAGCAGGCGAGAAAACUUUGCAAUGUGCGAAAGCACGACAAGGUUAAUCCGAGUGGUUUCUGCUAACAGGAACCUCUUGUCGGUCCUAGAAACACCGAUGAAUAAGGGGUGGGCAAGUUCUGGUGUCAGCCGCCGCGGUAAAACCAGCACCUCAAGUGGUCAGGAUGAUUAUUGGGCCUAAAGCAUCCGUAGCCGGCUACUGUAGUUUUCGGUUAAAUCUGUACGCUCAACGUACAGGCUGCCGGGAAAUACUGCAAAGCUAGGGAGUG
rnacentral:rRNA from 1 species